CAGCAGCCCCUGAUCAUGUGACUCCUCCUCCUCCAUGUGACUGAUCACAUGACGGUGACAUCAUCGCAGGUCCUGUAAGCGCACGGCUCCUGUACAGUCUGCAGGUGGAGGUAUAUACGGUUGUGGUGACAUCAGGAGCGCUGGGGGAGGGGACAUUACUAUUAACCCCUUCAGGUUUCUCCAAUCCAGAAUCCUCUGCUGAUAUCUUCUAUAUAAGAGAAUUCUCCUGGAUGACCCAUCAACCAUGGAGAGAGACAGGAACAAGAUGGCUGACAGGAUCAUAAACCUCACCCUACAGAUACUCUUCCGGCUUACUGGAGAGGAUUACACAGUAGUGAAGAAGUCCUCUAGUGGGCGCUGUCGGGCCCCUGUGUGUGAAGGAUGGGGAAGAACCCUGAGGCCAAUCCAGGG